AGGACGAACGCUGGCGGCGUGCUUAACACAUGCAAGUCGAACGGUAAGGCCCCUUCGGGGUACACGAGUGGCGAACGGGUGAGUAACACGUGAGCAACCUGCCCUUGACAUUGGAAUAACAGUUGGAAACAGCUGCUAAUACCGGGUAUGACCUGUCACCGCAUGGUGGUGGGUGGAAAGCCUUGGCGGUCAGGGAUGGGCUCGCGGCCUAUCAGCUAGUUGGUGAGGUAAUGGCUCACCAAGGCUUCGACGGGUA
rnacentral:rRNA from 1 species